rnacentral:misc_RNA from 1 species
GUAGGUGAACCUGCGGAAGGAUCAUUAAAGGUUUCGGGUACCUAGUGCCCAAACUUCAACCCUAUGUCUUAACUAUACAUGUUUCUUUGCCGGUUUCGACCGGCAGAAGUUUUCUCAAACUCAUUAUAAAUGUGUCUUCUGAAUCAAAAUUAAAUAAAUUAAAACUUUCAACAACGGAUCUCUUGGUUCUG